rnacentral:tRNA from 3 species
GCACCCGUAGCUCAGCUGGAUCAGAGCGCUGCCCUCCGAAGGCAGAGGUCACAGGUUCGAAUCCUGUCGGGUGCGCCA